GGCAGAAAACCACAUUGCCAUGUAUGUACCCAUACAACAAUCCUGCAAGUUCUUCACAUAUACCCCCAAAACCAAAAACACAAUAAAAUACGUAUAUAUUUUUUAAAAAGUGCUUAAUAAGUGUUAGUUUUGUUACUAUUAGCACCAUGCUAGAAAAUUCUGUUGCUUAGUUUGCUUCUAAACUGAGGAUGAUUUUGCCCCUCCCUCCCUAAGGACAUCUGGUGAUAUGUGGAGACAUUUUGGUUUUCAUAACUGAGAGUUGUUGCUGCAGGCAUCUUACGGACCAGGGAUGCUGCUAAAGAUCCUAAAAUGUACUGAACAGCCCCCUAAACCAUCUAAAUGUCAGUAGAGCUGAGGGUGAAAAACCCUCACAGAAACCCUGCAGGCUAACAAAACUUUGCUAGUUCACUAGUGGGUAAGAUGUCAGAAGUUGUGGAAGAAUUCAGAUUCAUGUCUGUUACAUGAAACAACAGGACACACUUCUGUCUGGAAUGUGUUUGGCACUGUUGUAGAAUAAAGUUUCAGAAAAAUUUAAUGAAGGUAUUUUUAAAGUAAAUCUCAUCAAUCUGGGAAUGUUAAAACAUGUAGGUGGACAGAACUUAGACUGUCUCCCUAGUAAACUUGUUGAUCCAUGAUUUUUCCCCACUUCAAGCCCCAACCUUUGGCUCAUCAGGUAGAGCAAAAGCAUUGGCCCUUCGUAACAGGACUCACACAGAGACCUAAGCAGCCAAGGCAGUGGCAGAACUGAUCAGGCCUAAGAAUAUCUCUGAUUCUUCUUUUCCUUAGAGGCUGCAUACAAUCUGUCCCCAGAUCCUGGAACCUUUUUAGUGCAAAACAAAUCCUGAAUCUUUCCCCUUCUCUCCAUCACCUUAGUUACUCUGGUCUAAUAGUCUAGAUUAUGCUAAGAGCCUCUUCUCCCGUCUCCCAUCUAUUCCUGGCCCAUGUAGUUUUUAGCAGCCAGAGUGAUCUUUGAAAAAUGCGUAUCACAUCAUGCCAUUCUAACUUAGAUGGCUUCCCUGAGAAUAAAAUCUGACCUCCUUUUAUGGCUUUCAUAUAGCUAUAUAUGAUCUGAUCCCCUACCUCCCCCUCCGGUCUCAUUUCAUACCAGCCUACCCUUCAUGCUUCAUCCAUGUUGGCCUUCUUUCAGAACAUAAAUAUGAAAGUAAGUUAGAUGGGAACCUGCAUUUGGCCAGGCUGUAACAAAAACAUUUGGACAUAAAAUUAAAUUUACAAAGAGGAAUCACCAUUUCUAAACAUGGCUUAAAACUGAGCUAGUUAAUCUAGUCACAGUGCAGACAAAUUGACGUAGAGCUUAAUUGUUCAAUUCUAUACCAAACUAGUCCGGGUAUCAAGUAAACCAAGAAUAGGUUUCCUCAAAGUAAUAAAAGAGAUUGAAGAUUCAAGGUCAGAUACACAUAGAUUUCACUAGUGAUAAUGACUUUACAUAUGUCUUAUAAAUAAUCUGCCCAGAGAUGAUGCAUCAUUGGAUUCAUGAGUUGGCACUUACUUGCAGCUUCUGCCAGUGAAAAAAACAAAGCAGCUUUUUUUCUUAGUAUUGAUUUCUUUUUAAUUGCCCUGUAGUCCAAGAGUGUGUUUGGAAUGAAUAGCAGCUUUUUUUUGAUAGCAAAUAAAAAAUAAAUGAAUCUUAUUUUUUUCUGUACCAGUUCCCAGGAAAUCUCAAGAAAAUACAACAGGGUAAAAUAUUUUUAAAGCCAAAUUUGCCCUGUAAUCCCAGCACUUUGGGAGGCCAAGGCGGGUGGAUCACAAGGUCAAGAGAUCGAGACCAUCCUGGUCAACAUGGUGAAAGCCCGUCUCUACUAAAAAAAAAAAAUACAAAAAAUUAGCUGGGCAUGGUGGCGCGUGCCUGUAAUCCCAGCUACUCAGGAGGCUGAGGCAGGAGAAUUGCCUGAACCCAGGAGGCAGAGGUUGCGGUGAGCUGAGAUCGCGCCUUUGCACUCUAGCCUGGGCUGGAGUAACAAGAGUGAAACUCCGUCUCAAAAAAAAAAAAAAAAAAAAGCCAAAUUUGCCUGAGAACUCUUUCUGAUUAUUUCCAAACCCUGGGCAAAGGAGCUAAUAUUUAUUAUUAAGGUUAGAUUAAAAGCUGCUAAAAUGUAGUUAUAAAAAAAGAAGUACUUUUAAUAGUUACAUUAAAGUUAAAAAUUAUAAAAAUUAACUAUUGCCUCAUUUUAUGAAAUCUACUAACAUGCUAUGUUGCUUUUUCUAGUCUCUGAAAUAAAAUCUUUCCCCUUCUGUACAUAUUAUUUUUUAAAAUCUCAAUGAUUAAAGCCAUAAAGGAAAAAUGCCUGGUAACUUAAAAUGUCAGAUAUGAAAUCCACUUUUAUCAUUUAUAGUUCAGAGAUCUGGCUGUUUUAAUAUACUAAUGGGGCAGUGGAGACAGCUCCCAGAGAGAGCUGCUUAAUAGAGGGAUGGUUAAGUGAAAACAUAAGGAUUUUCCAUCUGUUAGAAAACAGUAUGUGGUAACCAGUUCUUAUGGUUAGAUACAUUAAUCGAAUGACACAGGAAAUACAGGACACUACAUUUUGCUUGAAGAGCUCUUUUUGAGGAAAAAAAAUGAAUAAUGAAAAAAUUUAUAAGGCUGCUAGCUGCUUCAAAAGCCAGAAAACAACUCAAAGGCUAUUACUGUUUUAUAUGUGCUAGAAAUGGCUAAGUUAAUACUUAAACUGUUUAAGUUUUAAUCAGCAUGAACAUUCCUGAAAGAGCUUCAAAAGUGAAGAUGAGUAAGAUAGGAGGAUUUAAGAUCCUGUCCCCAAAGUAUGGUAGAUAUGAAAGUUUACAGAUUAUUAUAUUCCAGUUGUUUUUACAGGUUUCUGUGAAUUAUAUUACAAGCUAUACCAGUGGAAGAUAUUUCCAAAUACCAAAUACUUUUUGGUUCAUUGGUAAAUAUUUCCAAAACAGAAAUACUUUUUAACACAACGAAGCAGUUGAAUACUACAAUAGUUUAUUUUAUUCUUUUUUUUUUUUUUUUUUGCAGGUGGGAAAGGAGAAAGGUAAGGGUGGGAAUUUUAUGGUAAUACAAAUGUUACAUAGUCCCCUAACAUUUCCACUACAUUAUAAGCCUAUAGGAGUUCUUUUAAAGACUUCCACGGCUUCCAUGGUACUAUGAGUGGUAUGAAAAGUACCCACAGAUGUGUUCUACACUUCCCUCUAUGUUUUCAAGUACAUGCAGUAAGGAGAAAAUUGCAACAACCAAAGGGAUUUUUUUUUUAAAACAUCUAGGUAUAUAUCUUGUCAAAACCAUUAGAGCAUGCCAGAACAUGGUAUAACAAAUAAACCUUUUACUUAAGAUGUCAAAUCUCAUGAUCACCAAAAAAUUCUAAAGCAAAAAUACAGUUAGCCCAAACUUAACUGUUAUUGAAAUUUCAAGUGUAAUGGUUUUAUUUUCCAACUGCUUCAUGAUUUUGGCAGUCUUGUCUUUUUUUAAUCAUAAAAUAUGUUUAAUGACUGAAUUUUGAUGACACUAAUAUUUUAUUUAUGGUUUUUAUUUAAGAGGUUUUGCUUUUAUAAUAAUAAUUGCUACUUUGUUGAGUUCUAUGUACCAGGCACAAUUGUAGGCAUUUUUCAUAAACUGAUUUAAAUCUCUCCCACCACACACCUUGUGAAGUAGGUACUAUUUAGUUAUAUUUACACCUGAAUGGUUGUUCAGUGAGGUUAAGAAACUUGCACAAGGUCACACAGAAUUCCAGCCCAGGUCUAUUAGACUCUAAAAUCUUGGCACAGUCUUAACUGUUAGGUUGUAUUGUCUCCUUAGGUUAUGUAUGUAGGAUUUUUGGGUAUGUUUAAAUAUUCACCUUUGAUUCACAGUGUUAAGAAAUACACUUAAGCCACUACCUAUUUACUUAGAGAUGAAAAUGUUUCCAAAUUCAUAAGUCAGAACACAUUUUUCUUCAGAUAUUUAACACAGAGAAGGGAUGAAGACCAUAUUUUAUUCCCAUCUCCCAUGGUUUCAUAUUUUUAUAAACAUUUCUAGAAUGCUAUACAAUAGCAGCUAUAUUCUGCAACUUUAAUUAAAGGUCGAACAUUUCUUCUAUAUUCUGAUGAUGUAGUGAUAGUUAGUGCAUGCACUAAAACAAUCAGAUGACUCCACCAAGGGAAAGAGCAUUGCAUUAGCAACUCUUCGGGGGAAAUGUGUUAGUGAAUUAUUUCAUGAAUGGAGUAAGAAUAAAAUGAUUGUCUUAGAGGCUAUAAAUAAAUCCAUUUAAGUUAAAACUCAAGUCUAGGAAUUGAUACCUGCUUUGGCCAAAUUUUAUUUUGGGUAAUCUAACUUUAAAAAAAAAUCUACCUUUCCCUAUAGUAUUUUAAAUGGUUGUUUUAUAUUACUCUUUAUUGGUUCUAACUUGGUUGAUAUUAUCUAUGCAGAUUAACCCAAAGCCUUUCUGAAUAAAGAUUUAUCAUCCUCAAGAGAAAAACGAAUGGCAAAUAUUGUGCCAGACCUCAAGUACUUAAAAAGCAUUUCCUUGUACUAAGUACAGAAGGUUCAUUCUUCUUCUUUCAUUAUUCUUUUUCAGGCCACUAGGAAAUGAGGGUGUACAACACCCUUCCAGAGCCAACUUCAACAAAACUCAAAUUUAUGUACAUCCUAGAAUACUAGUGUGUUCCAAUCAAGAAAUUAAAUUUUAAAAAACCAUCCAUCUUAGGUACACUUGGGGCACUGGGCCUACAUUAUUUUUGCAUAAAGCCUAAUUGCUUCUAGAUGACUUCUGCUUGUUGAUUAGAUUUGUUGCAGCUCUCAGAGUGGCAAAGGUGACUAUAGAAAAUCAUAAAAUAUCCUUCAAAACAGUGCAUACAAAUCAAUAAUAAAAUAAUAUGAUCCCAAUAGAAAUGUGAACUAAGGGAUGCUAGGUUACAAAAGCAGAAAUUAUGGGUAAUUUACCUUGUUAAUGUAGAAUAUGAUGAAAUUAGUAUUAUCAUAUACUGCUAGUAGACUUGAACUUUCAGCAAAUUAGUUUGUCUCAAAAAUGGUCUUUCCCUUUCUCUUUGACAUAGUGAGCUGAAGAGAAGGAGAAGUAGGGGUAGGGUGGGGGGAAUGACAAGAGAAGGAGGAGAAUGGGAAGAGUGAAAGCCAUGAAAUGGUAGUGACUGAAAAGAGUAUGGUGGUAUUUACAAGAUAGUGUUUGGAGUCGGGAAGUUGAAUUGCAGCCCUGCCACUUACCUUUAGCUGGCUGUGUACCCUCAGGUAAUUUACUUGACCUUUCUAAGUCUCAUUUUCCUCAUCCGUGAAAUAGACAGUACUUUCCUAAUUAGGCUGCUCUGAAAACUAAUUGAAUUCAUGUAUGCAAAGUAAACUGUUUGCUUUUAUACUACAUAAUAGUAUGUGUUAUAUGCUUAUAAGACCUAAAAUGCAAAAUUAUCAAAAUCUGAUUUGGUGCAGUGCCCAUCCCAAUCCAUGUUAAUCCCAAAUAACCCAUUUGAUUCAAAUAACACUGACUUCAGUAGAAAAAGGCAUGGUUCUCCUGAGCGAUUACAGCUACAGGCAAAUUAAAAAAAGAGUGCCAUGAUACAGACCAACCUAUAGCACCAACUCUCUCAGUCUCCUUCAGUCACAGCAGUACAGACCUUAGGAUCUUUAUCUCUGGACAUGCGGUAAUAAAAUAGUUCCUUUUCAAAUAACUCAGGAAAGCACUGAUUUCUUAGGACCCAUAGCCAUGGUAGUAAUUCCUCACCCAACCUGCAUCCUCAGUUAUUUCAUUGCUUUGUGGCCCUUCUGAAAAGUAUUCCUUUAGAAGAACUGAGAAAUACUCCCUUUUCUGACAGAUGGCAGAUACAGAGAGUCACAACUUAGCAGAAACCCUGAGUAGAAAACCACCACAAGAACCAGUACUGGUAGCAAAGCCUGAACUGUAAUAAACAAAUUGCCAUAGACUCAGUGUGGACAAUUUUGAGAGUUAAAAACUUCCAGGGGACCCAGUGCUUUCGUGAGUUUUACCUCCUGGAGCUCCACCAGGAAAAAUCUCAGGUAUUGGGGGUAAUGGGGAGACACAUUCUAUUCUGAACAAGGCCUUCCCCCAAGAAAAAAUAUUUUACCAGAUCAUAAUCUACUGUGGUUUUAGAAUCUAACUGACCAACUCCAGGGCAAAACCCAACUCCAGCUAGCUCUAACUUUCUAUAUGGAACAGAAAAUACCCAACUCCAGCGCUCUCCAGCCAUCUGGUCCCACCUAAUUCUGGGAAAAGAAGUGAAGGUCACUUGUGAAGUUCGGACCUAGGGCCACAGGCUCACUUAAAGACUAACAGGCCAAGCAUGGUGGCUCACGUCUAUAAUCCCAACACUUUGGGAAGCUGGGGUGGGAGGAGCAGUUGAUGACAGAUGCUCAAGAACAGCCUGGGCAACACAGAGAGACCCCAUUUCUUAAAAAAAAAAAAAAUUAGCUGGGCAUGGUGCUGUGUGCCAGUAGUCCCAGCUAUGAGCACAGGAGGUAGAGGCUGCAGUGGGUGAAGAUCAUGCCACUGCAUUCUAGGCUGGGUACCAGAGUGAGAGCUUUACUCUGUCCUAAUUUUUUUAAAAGGUUGAUAUAUAAUCAUAAAAUUAUAGAACUAUACCUCACUACCACAGGACUAAUGGUCUAUUUACUGCAACAGACUAAUUUACAUAGGUCUAUUUAUUACCAAUAGACUAAUGGUCUAUUUACUGCAAUUCUUUCCACCCAGUACAUCAUGUCCAACUUUCAACAAAAAAUUAACAAAGCAUACUAAAAGGCAAAACCACUGCUUGAAGAAACAGAACAGAUAUCACAAACACAGUCAGAUAUGGCAGGAAUGUUGGAAUUAUCAGAUCAGGAAUUUAAAACAACCACAGUUAAUAUUCUAAGGGCACUACUGGAAAAAUUAGGCAACAUGCAACAAUGGUUGGAUAAUGUAGGCAGGGAGAUGGAAAUUCUAAGAAAGAAUUAAAAAGAAGUGCUAGAGAUCAAAAACACUGUAACAAAAUGAAUGCAUUCGAUUGGCUCAUUAGUAUACUGGACAAAGCUUAAGAAAAGUAUCUCUGAGCUUAAAGCACAUGUCAGUAGAAACCUACACAACUAAAAAGCAAAGAGAAAAAAGACUGAAAAAAAAAGAACAAUAUCCAACAAUGUGGAACAACUACAGAAAAUGUAACACAUGCAUAAUUGAAACAUCAAGAAAAUUAAAAGAGAAAAGAACAGAAGCAAUAAAUAAAGUAAUAACGACUGGGAAUUUCCUGAAACUAGUUUCAGACACCCCACCACAGAUCCAGAAAGUUCAGAGAACACAAAGCAGGAUAAAUCCCAAAAAAAGCAAGAAGAAAAAAUAAAGGAAGAGGAGCAAAAAGAAAAAAAGAAUGAAGAAAAAUGAAGAGAAUCUGAGGGAAUUACAGCAUCAAAUAGAAGAAAACAUGCAUUAUGGAAACCUCAGAAGGAGAAUCAAGAAAGGGGUAGAGGACCUAUUUAAAGAAAUAAUGGUCAGAAAUUUCCCAAAUCUGAGAGAAAUAGAUAUACAAAUUCAAGAAUCUCAGAUAAUUCCAACCAGAAUAAAUCUAAAGGGAUCAACACUGAGACAUAUCAUCAUAUUAUAAUUAAACUGUCUAGUGACAGAGAUCUUGAAAGCAGAAAAAAAAAAAAAAAAAAAAAAAAGCAACCAAGUACAUACAAAGGAGCUUAUAUUAGAUUCUAAGCAGACUUAGCAGCAGAAACCCUGCAGGCUAGGAAGUGGGAUGAUGUAUUCAAAGUACAGAAAGAAAAGCAGUGCCAAUCAAGAAUGCUAUGUUUAGUAAAAGUGCCCUUUUAAAAAAAGGAAGAAAUUAAGACUUUUACAAAUAAAAUUUGAGGGAGUUUAUCACCACUACUAGAAAUAUUCUAUAGGAAAUUCCGAAAGGGCACCUAUAAGUUGAAGUGAAAAGAUGAUUAACAGGAACAAAAAACCCAUAUAUUAAUAAAAACCUAAGUCCCAGGCAAAGGUAAAUAAAUAGACAAAUUUAGAACCUGUAUGAUUGUAAUGUAGGUGAGUAAGUCACUUAUAAAUCUGGUAUUGAAUUUUUUUUAUUCUAGACAGGAACUGGCUCUGUCACCAUGCUGGAAUGCAGUAGCAUGAUCUUGACUCUCUGCAACUUUUGCCUCCCAGGCUCAAGCCUUCCUCUUGCCUCAGUCUCCCAAGAAGCUGGGACUACAGGCACUUGCCACCAUGCCUGGCUAAUUUUUGUGUUUUUUGUAGAUCUGAGGUUUCACCAUGUUGCUCAGGCUGGUCUUAAACUCCUGAACUCAAGUUAUCUGCACACCUUGGCCUCCCAAAGGGAUGGGAUGCAAUUACAGGCAUGAGCCACCACUCCUGGCCCAGAAUUUUUUUAAAAGCAUAAAAAGUAAUUAUCAAUCUAUAUUAAGUGAUAAGCAAUGUAAAAACAGGCAAUUUUAAUGAUCUAUAAUAUAAAAUGGGAUGCAGAGAGAUAUAUAAAGGAGCAUGCUUUUUGUAUGUGAUGUUACUUUGUACGUGAUGUUAAAUAUUUAAAAUUUGUCAGUUUAAAAUAGAUCAUUAGAACUUUUAAGAUGUUUUAUGUAAUUACAAGAGUAACUAUGAGGAAAGUAUCUGUAGAAUACAUACAAAGGGAAAUAAUGAAAUCAAAACAUGGCUAGAAAAAAAUCAACAAAAAACAAACACAGCGAGAGGAAAGACAAAGCUGUAAGACAGACAAAAAAACAAUGAACAAAAUUAAUACUAAAUCCUUUCCUAUCAGUAAUUACUUUAAACAUAAAAGGAUUAAACACACCAAAGUAAUACCAAAUCCUUUCCUAUCAGUAAUUAUUUUAAACGUAAAAAGAUAAACCAUACCAAGACAUAGAUUGAUUGAAUGGCUAAAAAAUUUGAGAUCCAACUGUAAGCUGCCUACAAGAAACUCACUUUAUAUCUAAAAACACAUUGGCUGAAAGUGAAAAGGUGGAAAAAGGUAUUCUAUCCAAAUGAGAAACUGGAGAGCAGAACUAGCCAUACAUAUAUCAGAUAGAAUAGACUUUAAGGGGGAAAAAAAACUAUCAUAAGAGAAAAAGGGAGAUAUUAUAUAAUGACAAAAUGGUAAAUUCACCAAAAAGAUAUAACAAUAAAUACAUAUACAUCUAACAUCAAAGCAGUGGGAUAUGUGAAGCAACAUUGACAGAACUGAAGGAAGAUGGCCAGGCACGGUGGCUCGUGCCUGUAAUCCCAGCACUUUGGGAGGCCAAGAUGGGUGGAUCACCCGAGCUCAGGAGUUCAAGACCAGCCUGGUCAACAUGGUGAAACCCCAUCUCUACUAAAAAUACAGUUACCCAGGCAUAGUGGUAGGUGCCUAUAAGCCCAGCUACUCAGGAGGCUGAGGCAGGAGAAUCACCUGAACCCAGGGGGAGGAGGAUGCAGUGAGCCAAGAUUGCACCACUUCACUCCAGCUUGGGCAAAAGAUUGAAAAUCCAUCUAAAAAAAAAUUUUUUUUAAAGAACUGAAGGAAUAAAUGAGCAGCAACACAGUACUAACAGGCCACAUCAAUACCUCACUUUCAGUAAGAAUAGAACAACAAGACAGAAGAUCAAACAGAAGACACAGAUGACUUGAAUGACUCUUUAGACCAAUUGGAACUAACAAACAUACAGAACACUCCACCCAACAACAGGGAAUACACAUUUCUUCUCAAGUGCACAUGUAAUAUUCUCCAACAGAAACUACAUGUUAGGUCACAAAACGAGCCUUAAAUAUAAGAAAAUUGAAGUCGUACAAAUAAAUUCUCCAAUCUCAGCACAAUGAAACUAUAAAUCAAUAGCAGAAGAACAAGCAAAUCCACAAAUGUGUGGAAAUUAAGCAAUGCAGUGUAAAACAACCAAUGAGUCAAAGAAGAAAUCACAAGGGAAUUUAAAAAAUAUCUGGAGAUAAAAUGAAAACACAGCAUACCGAAACUGAUGGAAUGCAACAAAGCAGUAUUAACAGGAAGAAAGACCUCAAAUCAACAACUUAGCCUUACACUUAAAGGAAUAAAGAAGAUAAACAAAAUCCACAUCUAGAAGGAAGAAAAUAACAAAGAUCAGAGCAGCCAUAAAUAAAACAAAUAGGAGAAAAGAUAGAAAAAAUACAAUUAAACCAAUAGUUGGUAUUUUGAAAAGAUGAACAAAAUCAGCAAAUCUUUAGUUGCAAUAACUAAAAUGGAAAGAAGACUGAAAUAACUAAAAUCAGAAAGAAAAGAGAAGAUGUUCAACUGAUGUCACAGAAAUAAUAAGAAUUUUGAGACUUCUAUUAAAUUACAAUCAAACCAGAUAAUCUAGAAGAAAUGGACAAAUUCCUAGAAACAUAUAGCCUACCAAUAUUAAAUCAUGUAGAAAUAUAUGUGAACAUAUUUUUAUUACUAGAGUAGAUAUGUGAACAUAUACCUAUAACUAGUAAAGAACUGAAACAGUAAUAAUAAUAAUAAUAAAACCCUCCCAGAAACAACAACAAAAAAGGCCAGAACCAGAUAAAUUCACUGGAGAAGUCCUUCAAACAUUUAAAUAAGACCUAACACUAAUCCUUCUCAAAGUCUUUCAAAGAACUGAAACACUUCCAAACUCAUUCUGUGAGUUCAGAAUUACCUGAAUACCAAAUGAGACAAACAUAUAAGAAAAUAAAACUGCAGCCAAAUACCUCUUAAGUAUACUGAUAUGAAAAUCCUCAACAAAAUGCUAGUAAACUGAAUACAACAGUACCUUAAAAGGAUUAUACACCAUGACCAGUGGGACUUAUUCAUGGAAUGAAAGGAUGGUUCAACAUGUAAAAAUAAAUCUAUUUAAUACACCACAUUAACAAGAUGAAGGACAAAACCACAUGAUCAUUCCAAUUGAUGCAGACAAAAUUCAACAAUCCAUGAUACAAACACUCAAUAAACUAGGAACAGAAAAAAAGUACCUCAGCAUAAUAAAAUUCAUAUAUGAGAAGGCUACAUUUAAUAUCACAGUCAACAAAGACUGAAACUUUCCCUCUAAGAUCAGGAAUAAGGCAAGGAUGCCCACACCACUACUAUUCAACACAGUACUAGGAGGUCUAUCCAGAGCAAUUAGACAACAAAAUGAAAUAGAAAACAUAGAUUGGAAAAUUAGUAAAAUCAGUUCCCUUCACAGAUGACAUGUUUUAUAAAAACUGUUAAAAUUAGUAAAUUCAGCAAAGUUACAGGAUGCAAAAUCAAAGUUUAGAAACUGCAUUUCUAUACACUAACAAUCAAUUUACAAAGGAAAUUAUCCCCCAACCAAAGGAGCUUGAAAAAAAAGAAAUUAAGAAAACAAUUCCAUUUACUAUAGCAACAAAAAGGAUAAAAUAGGAAUGACCUCAACUAAGAAGGUAAAAGAUUUCUACACUACACUACACUAUACUACACCACACUACACUACACUACUUUGAUUUCUUACAAGAAAUCAAAGAAGAUAGAAAUAAAUGGAAUGAUAUUCCAGGCUCAUGGAUUGUAAGACUUGACAUUGUCACACUGUCCAUGCUACCCACAGUGAUCUAAAAAUUCAAUGUACUUCUUAUCAAAAUACCAAUUACAUUUUUUGCAGAAACAGAAAACAGCAUCCUAAAAUUCUCAAGGGACUAUGAAUAGCCAAAACAAUCUUGACAAAGAACAGAGUUAGAAGACUCAUUUCUAACUCUGAUUCAAAACAUUCUACACAGCAAUAAUUAAGAUGGUAUGGUAUAAAGAUAGAUAUAUACACCAAUGGAACAGAAUUAAGAGUCUAGGAAUAAACCCUUAUAUAUAUGGCCAAAUGAUUUUUGACAAGGAUGCCAAGACUACAGUGAAUAAAAGACAGUCUCCUUAACAAAUGGUGCUGGGAAAACUGGGAUAUCCACAUGCAAAAAUAAGUAAAAUAAAAAUUAAGCUGGACAUUAACUUAUAUCAUACAUAAAAUUAACUCAAAAGGGAUUAAAGACGUAAACAUAAGGCCUAAAACUAUUAAACUUCUAGAAAAAAAUACAGAGGAAAAAGUUCAUGAUACUGGAUUUGAGAAUUAUUUCUCAGAAGUGACACCAUAAGCACAAGGAACAAAAGAAAAAAAUAGGCAAAUGGAACUAUGGGAAACUUUUGUGCAUAAACAGACACGAUCAAAUUAUGGACUGGGCAAAAAUAAUUGCAACUCAUGUAUCCGAUUUGGGGUUAAUAUCCAGACUAUAUAAGGAACUUCUAAAACUCAACAGUAAAUAAAUAAAUAAAUAACCUAAUUUAAAAAUGAGAAAAUGACUUCAAUAGAAAACUCUCCAAAGAAGAUAUACGACUAGCCAAUAAAUACUUGAAAAGAUGCUUGUCAUCACUAAUCAUCAGGGAAAUGCAAAUCAAAACAAUGAGACAUCAACUCAUACUCACUAGAAUGGUCACUAUCAGAAGAGCAGAAUAUAAAUGUUGAGCAUGUGGUGAGCCCUUGUGCACUGCUGAUGGGAAUGUAAAAUGGUGCAGGUAGUACGGAGAGCAGUAGAGAUACUUCAAAAAUUAAAAGUACAGUUAGAAUAUGAUUCAGCAAUUCUACUUCUAGAUAUAUAUCCAAAAAUAAUUCAAAGCAGGAUCUAAAAGAUAAAUUUUCACCCAUGUUCACUGAAGGGGUAGAGUAAAAUAGACAAGGGGUAGAGUGAAAACAAUCUAAAUGUCUAUUGACAACAGAUGGAAAAGGAAAAUAUGGUAUAUACAUAAAAUAGAAUAGUAUGAAAUCUUCAAAAAAAAAAAAAGAAUAUUCUGUCACAUGCCUCAACAUAGGUGAACCGUGAGGGCAUUAUGCUAGUCAAAAUAUGCCAGUUGCAAAAGGACAAAUGCUGUAUGAAUCCACUCAUAAAAAGUAUCUAAAGUAGUCAAAUCAUAGAAAAGAAAAAGCAGAAAUGUGGUUAGCAAGGGCUGGAGGGAUGAUGAGGAGGGAAUUAUUAGUGUUUAGUGAGUACAGAGUCUUAGUGUUAUAAGAUUUAAAAAAUGCUAGAGAUCAGUUGCACAAUACUGUGAAUAUACCUAACACUAUUGAACUGUACACUUAAAAAUGGUUAAGAUUGUGAAUUUAUUAAGUGUUUUUUGUACCACAAUAAAAAAUGCAAGCAAAAAAAGAUGAAGAAAAAAUAAAAACUUUCAUAAACAUAAUUUGAGGUAAUUUUUACCAACAGAACUGAUUUGUGAGAAAUGUUAAAAGAAGUUCUUUAGAAGAAAAAUGACAUGGGUUAGAAACUAGAUCUACAUAAAGGAAGGAAGAGUCCUGGAGAAGAAAUAAGUAAAAUUAAAAUAAAAACUUCUACUUUUCUUAUUCUUACUUGAUUUUACUUGUGAACAAACGAAUGGCAGUUUGUUCAAAAUAAUAACAGCAAUAAUAAAUUAUGUAUGCUAUGUAUGUAUGUAUGUAUGUAUAAGUGAAAUGAAUAACAGCAACGAUACAAGGGAUGGAGGGUAGAAAUUAGGAAUAUUCUGUUAUUAUAAGGAACUUGUACUACCCAUGAAGAAGUAUAGUGUUAUUUGAAAGUCAAAUUGGAUUAGUUGUAAAUAUACAGUGCAAGCCCUAGGGCAACCACUAAAAAAGAAAACACACAUACAUAAAUAAUAUUAAUAUGCUAAGAAAGGAAAGUGGAAUCAUAUGAAAUGCUUAAUUAAAACCACAAAUUGUGAAAAAAAAAGUAAAACAAAAACAGAAACAAGGGCAACAAAUACAGAACAAUGAUAAAUAUAAUAGCUAUUAAUCUAACUAUAUUCAUAAUCACUUUAGAUGUCUAUGUCCUGAAUACACUAAUUAAAAGACAGAUUGCCAGAAUGGAUCAGAUUAAAAAAAUAAGAUCAGCUAUAUUUUCUCAAAAAGAAACCACUUUAAAUAUUAAGACACAUCCCUGCUGUGAUUCUGUCCUGUGCAGCUGUUCUCUGGGGCUGCAGUCAUUUAUCUCCAUUUGCCUCCUCUACCACCUAAGUGCAUGCCACCACCCCGGUGGACAUGGACAUUAGCCCCCUGAGGCCCCAGAACUAUCUUUUCAGUUAGUUCUGAAAGGCCAAAAAAGAUUAUCACUUUAGGUUGAUAAUGAUGAAAAUGAGCACCAGUUAUCUUUAAGAAUGGCCAGUUCAGGGGCUGGUGCAAAGGAUGAAUUGCACAUUGCUGAAGCAGAGGCAACGAAUUACGAAGGCAGUCCAAUUAAAGUAACACUGGCAACUUUGAAAAUGUUUGUACAGCCAAUGGUCUCCCUUGGGGGCCUUGAAAUAACACCUCCAGUGAUCCUACAGUUGAAGUGUGGUUUGGGGCCAUUGCUUAUUAGUGGACAGCACUUAGUAGCUGUGGAGGAAGAUGCAGAGUCAGAGAAGGAAGAAGCAAAGUCAGAAGAUGAAGAGGAGGAGUAUGAAACUCAUAAGUAUAUAUGGAAAGCAAUCUGCCCCUGGAGGUGGUAGCAAGGUUCCACAGAAAAAAGUAAAACUUGCCACUGAUGAAGAUGAUGAUGAUGAUGAUGAAGAUGCCAAUGAUGAUUUUGAUGAUGAGGAAACUGAAGAAAAAAUGCCAGUGAAGUAAUCUAUAUGAGAUACUCCAGCCAAAAAUGCACAAAAGUCAAAUUGGAAUGGAAAAAACUCAAAACCAUCAACACCAAGAUCAAAAGGACAAGAAUCCUUCAAAAAACAGGAAAAAACUACUAAAAUACCAAAAGGACCUAGUUCUGCAGAAGACAUUAAAAUGCAAGCAGUUCAUCAAUUAUGUGAAGAAUUGCUUCUGGAUGACUGACCAGAAGGCUAUUCAAGAUCUCUGUCAGUGGAAGAAGUCUCUUUAGGAAAACAGUUUAAACAAUUUGUUAAAAUUAUUUCAUCUUAUUUCAUUUCCGUAACAGUUGAUAUCUGACUGUCCUUUUUAUAAUGCAGAGUGAGGACUUUCCCUAUUGUGUUUGAUAAAUGUUGUCCAGGUUCCAUUGCCAAGAAUGUGUUGUCCAAAAUGCCUGUUUUUAAAGUUGGAACUCUUUCCUUUGCUUGGUUUUCAGUAUGUAUGGAAUGUUAUGAUAGGACAUAGUAGUAGUGGUGGUCAGACAUGGAAAUGGUGGUGAGGCAAAAAUAUACAUGUGAAAUAAAACUCAGUAUUUUAAUAGAGUUAAAAAAAUUAAGACACAUAGAUUCAAAGCAAAGAUAUUGACAAGAAUAUCAUGUAACACCAAUCCAAAAAAUGUUAAAGCAAGCAUAUUUUCAGAUAGAGCAGACAUCUGGGCAAGAAAAAUCAUUACAGAUAAAGACAGAAAUUACAUAAUAAUAAAGGGAUCAAUUCUCCAAAAAAAAGUAACAAUAUGGCCAGGAGUGGUGGCUCAUGCCUGUAAUCCUAGCACUUUGGGAGGGCGAGGUGGGUGAAUCACUUUAGGUCAGCAGUUGGACCAGGCUGGCCCAACAUAGUGAAAUUCUGUCUUUACUAAAAAAUACAAAUACUAGCUGGGCAUGGUGGUGUGCACCUGUAGUCCCAGCUCCUCGGGAGGCUGAGGCAGGAGAAUUGCUUGAACCCAGGAGGCAGAGGCUGCAGUGAGCCGAGAUCGUGCCAUUGUACUUCAGCCUGGGUGACAGAGCAAGAGUAAAAAAACUCUAUCUCAAAACAACAACAACAAAAAACAAAAGAAAAAACCCAUGCGCGCACACGACACACACAAUAUUUAAUGUGUAUGCGCCUAAUAACAGAGUGCCAAAAUAUAUAAGGCAAAAACUGAUAGAACUGCAAGGAGAAACAGAUGAAUCUGCUAUUACAGUUGGAGACAUCGACACCCCCCUAUCUGAAAUGGACAGAUCCAGCAGGCAGGAAAUGAAUAAGGAUACAGUUGAACUUAACAUCAGUACCAGUCAACUGGAUUUAAUUGACAUACAGAGUACAUCAUCCAACAAGAAGUAGAAUAUACAUUCCUUUCAAGCUCACAUGGAACAUUCAUCCACUGAGAGACCACAUUCUGGGGCAUAAAGGAUACUUUAACAAUUUUUUAAAAAAUAAAAAUCAUACAAUAUUACCACUCAGACCACAAUGGAGUUAAACUAGAAAUAUAUAAAUACCAAUAGCAGGAAAAUUCCAAAACGUGGAGAUUUAAAAAAACACUUCUGAAUAACAAGUAGGUCAAAGAAGAAAUCUUAAGAGAAAUUUAAAAAUAUUUUGAAAAUAAGGAUACAACAUAUCAAAAUCUGUAAAAUGCAGUGAAGUUACCAAAAUAGCAGAAUAGAGGCAAUCUGAAAAAAAUGAGAAACAACUAUACAGUGACAACAUUAUCACCACCAAUAUUCCAGAACUCAAAACUGAGGUUGUGACAAUCCUUGGUGUCACAAAGAAGUGAAAAAUUAUGGGUAGAAGAGAGAAUGGACUUCUUCAUCCAUGAUGCUCCGCUCCUAAGUUGUUAGGCACUGGAUAAAAAAAGUCUCCCGAGACUCAUGGUUCCUAUCCUGGAGAAACUGAGACUGAGGUAGACAGAUAGCUUCUCCACCACCUAGGGUUACUUUGCAGGAAAGUGAUUCCUGCCUUAGCCCAAGGAAGCAUUGCUAGUGCCUUUUGGGAAAAAAAUCUGAGGACAGCUAUGGACAAUCAUGGAAGUAGGGCUAGGAACUCCAGCAAAGGAAACCUGGGGCUGCUCUUUAUCUCUCAGCCAAAGGAGAUGCCAAAUCAGAGAGAAAGUAGAUCAGCAGCAGUAGAAGUCACAUUCCAUGGGUCCUCUGGGCACAAACUCCUAGGUAAUUCCCUUCCCUGCCAACCUCAGCCAGGGAAUCCCCUUUUGAAUAUCCCCCUAACCCAAGAUGAAAGUGCACUAAACUUUUGUGAAAGCUACGCAAACCUGGGCUUAGGGUGCCAUCUAAUGCUGAAAAGAAGGCAGUGAUCUAAGUCUAAGGGAAUAAAACAAACCACAUACACACCUGAAAGACCAAACCAAGGCAGACAGCAAUAACUAGAAUAACAUAUCAAUGUGAAGACAUACAUGGACAUUUGUAAGAAACAACAUCAAACAGGGAACCACAACCUUCCUGAAUGUACAAAGCAAGGAGCUAGUGACUGACCCUACCAACUUGAGACAAAGAUGUGUAAGCUCUCUGAUCAAGAAUUCAAAAUAGCAAUUUUGAAGAAAUCUGGGGAACUCCAAGAUAGCACAGUAAAAAACUUUAGAAACUUAAUCAGAAAAAUUUAACAAAGAGAUUUAAAAAAUUAAAAAAUAGAAGUCCUGGAACUGUGAAAUACAUUGGCUGAACUGAAAAUGCAUGAGGGUUUUGACAGUAGAAUUAAUCAAGCAGAAGAAUCAGUGAGCUCAAGGACAAUUUGAAAAUACAUAAAGAGAGGACACAUAGGAGAAUAAAAAGGAAGAACACAUGUGAGAUCUAGAAAAUAGCCUAAAAAGAGCAAAUUUAAGAGUCACUGGCCUACAAGACAGAGUUAAGAAAGAACAAAGGGUAGAAAGCUUAUUCAAAGAAAUAAUAACACAAAACUUUUCAGAUCUAUAGAAAAAAAUAAAUAUCCAGGCAUAGGAAGGUCAAAGAAUACAGUACCCAAGAGAUUAAACCCAAAUAAGACUACCCCAAAGGCAUACACUAAUCAAAUUCUUAAAGGGCAAAACCAAAAAGGGAAGUCUAAAAGCAGGAAAAAAUGAAGCAGCAUAACAUAUAAAGAGCUCUAAGUCAUCUGGACAUCCAGUGGAAACCAUACAUGACUGAAAAGAGUGGGAUGACAUAUUAAAAAGCUAAAGGAAAAAAAGAAAAUAAAACCCUGCCAAUUGAGAUUACUAUACCCAGCAAAGCUAUCCUUCGACCAUAAAUGAGAGAUAAUAACUUCUGAAGACAAACAAAAGCUAAAGGAAUUUCAUCUUAUAAAAAAUGUCAAAGCUAGUUCUUCAAUCUGAAACAAAAGACACAUGCAACAAAAAAAUACCUGAAGUUAUAAAAGUAUUGGUAAAAGUAGGUAGACAAAUUUAGAAAAUCUAAUACUGUAGCUGGUAUCUCUAGUAUGAAGACUAAACCUACUAAAAUAAAAUAAUAAACUGUUAAAAGUUAAGUAAUAUAAAAAGAUGUAAAUUGUGUCAACGAAAGGUCAAAACGAGUGUCAGGGGGAUGAAAUAACAAUGUAAAGUUUUUUGUUUUUUUCUUUGUGAUCAACAUUGAGUUCUCAUAUAUUCAGAAUAACUUAUAAGAUGUCUUUUGAAAGCCUCAUAAUAACCACAAAGCAAAACACCUAUAAUAGGUAACACUAAAAAUAAAAAGCAAGUAAUUAAAACAUACUACCAGAGAAAAUUAUAAAAUCACAAAGAAAGAAGA